AAUUUAAUUACUCCGACCCCGACGGCCUAAACCUUUUUGGCAUGGUCGUCGGAGCGGUAUCCCGAGGUUAUAUCGGGAUCAAGGGUUUGGUUGGAAAUUUCCAAGCCUCCCAUUUAGGAAAGGAGAAAACAUGAAAAGGUU
rnacentral:ncRNA from 2 species